GAGUUUGAUCAUGGCUCAGAUUGAACGCUGGCGGCAGGCCUAACACAUGCAAGUCGAGCGGUAGAGAGAAGCUUGCUUCUCUUGAGAGCGGCGGAUGGGUGAGUAAUGCCUAGGAAUCUGCCUGGUAGUGGGGGAUAACGCUCGGAAACGGACGCUAAUACCGCAUACGUCCUACGGGAGAAAGCAGGGGACCUUCGGGCCUUGCGCUAUCAGAUGAGCCUAGGUCGGAUUAGCUAGUUGGUGAGGUAAUGGCUCACCAAGGCGACGAUCCGUAACUGGUCUGAGAGGAUGAUCAGUCACACUGGAACUGAGACACGGUCCAGACUCCUACGGGAGGCAGCAGUGGGGAAUAUUGGACAAUGGGCGAAAGCCUGAUCCAGCCAUGCCGCGUGUGUGAAGAAGGUCUUCGGAUUGUAAAGCACUUUAAGUUGGGAGGAAGGGCAGUAAAUUAAUACUUUGCUGUUUUGACGUUACCGACAGAAUAAGCACCGGCUAACUCUGUGCCACG
rnacentral:rRNA from 1 species